GCGAACGAUCUUGACACACAGGCGUAUCUUAGGCCGUGUGAAUAUUAGAGCUUAUUUUUUAUUUGUUUCAAAUGGCACACGGGCUGGGUGUGAGUACACGGCAUGGCCACAUGGCCAUGUGGCCCACAUGGCCAUGUAGCCUGGUUCAAGGCUAGGGUUUCCUUCUUUUUGUCUUCUAUUUUUUUUUCUUAUUCUUAUUUUAUUAUUAUUUUUUUCUUUUUUCUCCUUCUUUACAAGCCACUACUCACCAACCCCUCCAAAAAACCUUAGCCGCCGACCAUUUCAUCCCUGCGCCAUACCAGCCACCAGUCCCUUAUCCUUUUCAAUCUUUUCCCUCGUCGCUCCAUUCCUUCUGCCGCAAAAAACCCUCUUUGUUCAUCCACUGCUCUGCGUGAUCCCCUCCCUCCAUCUUCCUCAAAUGACUUCCCUCGCCGUCGAUGUCCCUCCCCCCUUGUUGGUUUGUGCACGCCACCGUCGUUCAAAGCCCAUGCCCGGGCAUUCUCAUCCCUUUUCCGAUCUCAACCACCACCCACGCACACACACAAUUCCCUUCUCCGUGGCUUUUUGACCACAGCCCUGUCUCCUCCAUUACUUUCCACCAUCACUCACACCUCAGAUCUACCUUCAACCACCACUGCUCGUGCCGACCACCGCGCUCUGAUGCCAUUUAUCCCUAUCGCCGCCUGUGCCACCAUUGUGUCGCUAUUUCACCGUUUCUGGUGAUUGUACAUUCGAAUAGGUGGCAAUGUUAUUACAUACUUGUCCUGCUGGAAUUUUCUGCAUGUUUGUUGGUUCCUUGCCAUGCGAACAUAUCUCGUUUCUCCCCUUCGCCACCAAGUCACCUUAAGGCUGCUUUUGCUGUUACUCUUGAGGAUCUCUCUGAACGGGUUGAUUGUUUCUAGUAGCAAUACUUUGAUCGGUUCGAUAGCAUUGACUCAGCUUUGCAUUAGAUUUGCCAGCACCUCCAUAUCUCUCAGCCUGAUCAUGCGCCUCACGACCCCGACACCUCUCAUGACGCCGAUCACUGACCUGAUUUCAUUUUAUUUACUUUAGUUAUUUUUAUUUUCGGUUCUACUUUUAUUUUUUUAUUUUUACUUGUGAGGUUUUUGGGCAAAUUGCACAUAAAAGCCCUAUUUUUUUAAAAUUUACCGAAAUGGGCCCGAUAUUUUAAUAUUUACCGGAAUGAGCCAUUUUUCCUAAAAUCGCGUCUACGUCAGCGCGAUGUCAGGGGAUAUGUCAACAAAUCGCGUCCACGUCAGCGCGAUUACUUACGUGGCAAUAAAUUGCGUCCACGUAAGCGCGAUUUGCUGACGUGGAAGCAAAGCGCGCUUACGUGGACGCAAUUUGCACCGCACGUGAACAGUAUCCACCGGUCAAAAAAUUGACCGUUUAUGUUUUUUAGCUUGGAAAACUUUGAAAUGUCAUAACUUGUCGCUCGAUUGUCCGAUUGAGACGAUUUUUUUUGAUUUCGAAUAACUUGUCCGAUUGAGGCGGUUUGCCGCAGUUUUCGUCGAAAAAGAUCUUUUUUUACCUCUAAAUUUUGAUUUUUUCGGUUUAAAAUUGAAUUUUGAAACAUUCAAAUCAUUAUUUUCCUUAUUUAUUUGAAGAAGACACCAGAUUUUUUUACAGAAUUGUUGUAUUAUUUUUUUUGAUUUGACACGUGUAUGAAAUAAGUCCAAUAAAUCGUUAGAACGUAAGUAAUAUAAUUAAGAUAAUAACAAGAUUUUUAUAAUAUGUCAAUUAAUUAGUUUAGCUUAGUUGAUUAUGAUGCUUGCUUUUUCCCUUAAUACAUUGGUUCAAAUCUUGUUGGUAAUAAUUUUGAAUCUUUUUUAUACUUGUUGCAUUUAUUUUUUAAUCAAUUAACUCUUCAAUAUUACAUUAAUAUAUAUUAUUAGUAUAAUAGUAUAGACGGAUUGACAAUUUGAGCUACAAUAUUAUGAAUAUUAACUACAAUAUAUAAUUUGAGCUACAUAUUAUAGUAAUACAUAUUGGGGCAAAAUACUAAAAAAACCCUAUUUUUUUAAAAAUUUAUCGAAAUGGGCCCGAUAUUUUAUUAUUUACCGGAAUGGGUCAUUUUCCCCGAAAUCGCGUCCACAUCAGCGCGAUGUGUCAGCAAAUCGCGUCUCGUAGGCGCGAUUUGUGUCCACAUAAGCAAAGCGCUCUGACGUGGACGCGAUUUGCUGACACAUCCCCUGACAUCGCGCUGACGUGGACGUGAUUUCGGGGAAAAUGGCACAUUCCGGUAAAUAAUAAAAUACGGGGCCCAUUUCGGUAAAUUUUAAAAAAAUAGGACUUUUUUUGGUAUUUUGCCCGAGACUUUUAUUAUAUUUUUUUUGAACUCUGUUGUUAUUUUUAUUAUUUUGAUGGUUGUUUUUGUUCGAGUUUGUAAUCUCAUUAUCUUCUUAUUUAUUUUUGUUUAUCUUCUUGUUAGUUUGCUCGGAAACAUACACUUCAUUUAAAAUUACCCACGAUUUAGAUUUUCACUCUUCUGGCAAUUUCAUUCCAAUCAGGGCAAUGUCAGUUCUCUCUAUCCCUUAUGAUAUUGUGCUUAUUAUGUGAUCAUAAUUGUUUGUACAUUGAGGGCAAUGUACAUCUUAAGUGUGGGGAGAAUUUUAUAUGUUUAUGUGAUAUAGCCCCUGAAUUAUUGUUUGUGUUUAAGUAGUUUUCUAGAACCUAACAUUGAAGUAAUUUAUUUUAAUUUGGAGUUUUUAUUGAUUCAA